AGUGAACGCUGGCGGUAGGCCUAACACAUGCAAGUCGAACGGCAGCACAGUAAGAGCUUGCUCUUACGGGUGGCGAGUGGCGGACGGGUGAGGAAUACAUCGGAAUCUACUUUUUCGUGGGGGAUAACGUAGGGAAACUUACGCUAAUACCGCAUACGACCUACGGGUGAAAGCAGGGGAUCUUCGGACCUUGCGCGAUUGAAUGAGCCGAUGUCGGAUUAGCUAGUUGGCGGGGUAAAGGCCCACCAAGGCGACGAUCCGUAGCUGGUCUGAGAGGAUGAUCAGCCACACUGGAACUGAGAAACGGUCCAGACUCCUACGGGAGGCAGCAGUGGGGAAUAUUGGACAAUGGGCGCAAGCCUGAUCCAGCCAUACCGCGUGGGUGAAGAAGGCCUUCGGGUUGUAAAGCCCUUUUGUUGGGAAAGAAAAGCAGCAGGUUAACACCCCGCUGUUCUGACGGUACCCAAAGAAUAAGCACCGGCUAACUUCGU
rnacentral:rRNA from 1 species